GUGCGUGUUAAUGGUGAUGAGGGUACACCUGUUCCCAUUCCGAACACAGCAGUUAAGCUCACUCGUGCCCAAGAUAGUUAGCUGGAAACGGCUUGUGAAAAUAGGUAGUCGCCGACU
rnacentral:rRNA from 1 species